rnacentral:lncRNA from 1 species
AAAAAUGGUGAUGAUCUGUGUUUCAUUGAUAUGAUCAUCUAGCUUCUCUGUUUAUCCCACAAAUUGGUUUAGAAGAUGUCAUGUGGCAUGUAGAGACUUUAAACGAUUAUACUCAAACUGCCAUCCAUGAUGUUGAGGGAAGUAUCUCUCUCCUUAAUACUGAAAUAACACUUAUGAGGAAGGCCAUCUUACAAAACCGGAUGGCUUUAGAUGUCCUCACUUCAGCUCAAGGUGGUACUUGUGCCAUUAUUAAAACUGAGUGUUGUGUCUACAUCUCUGACAAUUCUGGCAAUGUGACAAAUAUCCUUAAAGAUUUACAUGCUCAGAUAGAAGCCAUGUCCUCACCAACCUUGUCAUGGGAAUAAUAUCUUAGCUCCUGGUUCUCUGGUACUUCCUGGUGGAAAACAUUGUUAGUAUCUGACUUUGCCAUCAUACUCUUUGGCAUAUUCCUGUGCUGUGGCAUUUAUUGCUGCAUCAAUCUGGUUCCAGCACUAAUGAAUUCUUGUUUCUCUUAUAGACCACCCAUCACGCAAAUGGCCCUCCAGCCUAUUACUUCUCAAUCGGACUUCUAUCAUGGACCACUAGAUAGACCCGAUUGUUAAAGGAGGACUCCAAACUGCUUGCCCAGCAUAGUCCCCUUUCAGCCUGAAGAAGCCAGAACAAUGUUCGCCACCUUUCCUUAAAGAACUAAGGAGUUCCCAAAAUUAGAGGGGGGAAUGAAGUUUAAAGUUAGGUAGUCAGUGUAGUUAGGUAAAUCGGGUCUAAUAUCGAGUAAGAUCCAAAAUGGAGGCCAUGAUGAGAAUGAAUUCCAGGAAAAGCAGAACAACCCUUGGAAUAUUAAUGAAGUCUGGGAAAAGCAGGACAACUCAUGGAAUUUUGAUGUCCCCAAGGCCCAGAGCCCAUCCCAAAGAAAUGUUAAUGAAAGAGCUCCCAGCAAACUUGAAGAUGCUGACCCAAAAGUCCUAAAAGAUUACUUUUUUCCCACUUGUGCCUCACCCUUUGGGCCUUCCCACCCACAUUCCAUCACUGAACUAUAAAAGAAGGAACACAUUCUCCCUUCAAUGGAUUCCAUCUCUUGGGUCCCCUUCUUCCUCCAGGAGAAGUCUUUUCUGCUGUCUUUUAAUAAACUUCUAAUUUCCACUCUGACCUUGCCUCGGC